GUGAAAUCAAGUUUGCAAGCAGAAGGACGCGUCGAUGCGUGCUCGUUUUUUUCUCUCUUGAAACCAGUACGGAAAAACUAUUUGAAAUCGUAACACACGCACGCACGCGGAAGUGAGCACGGACCACGAUAGAAGCAAUAUUCAAUUGGUUGGAGUGCCGAAA